ACUUCAUUAUGUUAUCUUCUUCCCAUUGUUUAAGGACAAGUCUUGAAGUAUUGGAACCAUCUUCUCCCUGAUCAGUAUAAAUAAAGCUUCUAUUUAAGGCUGGCAUUAUAUCAACCCACCUGCUUCUAGAAGAGAGAGAGAGAAAAAAAAUCGGAAUCACUCAACCUGCGGAUUGCUGUCAGCUUGUGAUGAUAUGAAUGAAAGCCUCAAGACAUAGUCCUUGUUGUUGAACAGCUUCUGAGUACAGUCCCUGAAGUUAGAACAAAUUUCUUGACAUAGAGAUGAAGGGAGACCCUGGAAGGGUACAACUAGUGGUACACCACCUUCUGGAGAAACCAAGGGCUUUGUUACAGUAAACUGGUCCAGUGUGAUGUUACAAGUAUAAAAAAUAUUCCAUUCUGUAUCAAAACUAGGCACAUGCCUUUAUUUAUAGUAACAGAAGUCAACACAGUUGAGCAGUUUUGCCUUGGGUCCUGUUUCUCGGCAUCCUACAUCAGACAAACGCAUCUUUCAACAUAUCUCCGCCCAGAACUCCAGGGAUCUAGUCUCAGGUUAUCUGUAUGUAAAGGAAGGUGAAAACACACGUGGAUCUAUAGUGGUGAGUAACUAAAAGCAUAACCUCUCAUUCAUAUUGCUUUAAAACAUAU